ACUCAAAUGAAUUGACGGGGGCCCGCACAAGCGGUGGAGCAUGUGGUUUAAUUCGAUGCAACGCGAAGAACCUUACCUGCCCUUGACAUCCCUCGAAUCCUGGUGAAAGACUGGGAGUGCCGAAAGGAGCGAGGAGACAGGUGCUGCAUGGCUGUCGUCAGCUCGUGUCGUGAGAUGUUGGGUUAAGUCCCGUAACGAGCGCAACCCCUAUUCUGUAUUGCCAUCCCGCGAGGGGGAACUUACAGGAGACUGCCGGUGACAAACCGGAGGAAGGUGGGGAUGACGUCAAGUCAUCAUGGCCUUUAUGGGCAGGGCUACACACGUGCUACAAUGGGGCGUACAGAGGGAAGCGAACCUGUGAGGGGGAGCGAAUCCUUUAAAACGCAUCGUAGUCCGGAUCGGAGUCUGCAACUCGACUCCGUGAAGUUGGAAUCGCUAGUAAUCGCGGAUCAGCAUGUCGCGGUGAAUACGUUCUCGGGCCUUGCACACACCGCCCGU
rnacentral:rRNA from 1 species